rnacentral:rRNA from 1 species
GAUGAACGCUGACAGAAUGCUUAACACAUCAGCGACGGAUUGGUGGCGGUCGGAUGAGUAACGCGUAAAGAACUUGCUUCACAGGCAGGGACAACAUGUGGAAACGAAUGUUAAUACCAAAUAAUGUGAGAGAGCUUUGCGUCCCAUUAGCUAGUUGGAGAGGUAACGGCUCACCAAGGCGAUGUUGGGUAGCCGGCCUGGGAGGGUGAGCGGCCACAAGUGGACGGAUACACGGCCCUGACUCAUACGGGAGGCUGCAGUGGGGAAUAUUGGACAAUGGACCAAAGUCUGAUCCAGCAAUUCGGUGUGCACGAUGAAGUUUUCGGAAUGUAAAGUGCUUUCAGUUGGGAAGCGGUACCAACAGAAGAAGUGACGGCUAAAUACGUGCCAGCAGCCGCGGUAAUAC